UACGAAGGGGGCUAGCGUUGUUCGGAAUUACUGGGCGUAAAGGGCGCGUAGGCUGUGCUGUAAGUCAGGCGUGAAAUCCCCGGGCUCAACCUGGGAAUUGCGCAUGAUACUGCGGCGCUUGAAGACGGGAGAGGAUGGCGGAAUUCCCAGUGGAGAGGUGAAAGUCGUAGAUAUUGGGAAGAACACCGGUGGCGAAGGCGGCCAACUGGACCGGUAUUGACGCUGAGGUACGAAAGCGUGGGUAGCAAACAGG
rnacentral:rRNA from 1 species